rnacentral:misc_RNA from 1 species
AACGCAACUUGCGCCCUCUGGUAUUCCGGAGGGCAUGCCUGUUUGAGUGUCAUGUAGACUCAUCUAAUCGGGUUUCUGAUAUAGAUGGAUUUGGGAGUUUGCCUUUGUUGGCUCUCCUUAAAAGCAUUAUGCAGACGUAAUAAGUUUCGUCGUACGCAUCACUACUGUAUUUGUACUCUGGCCUCAAAUCAGGUAGGGCUACCCGCUGAACUUAA